AGCACUCUAGUGAGACUGCCCGGGUUAACCGGGAGGAAGGUGGGGAUGACCUCAAAUCAUCAUGCCCCUUAUGUCUAGGGCUACACACGUGCUACAAUGGUGGGAACAAAGAGAUGCAAUACGCGAGGUGGANCUAAACUCAAAACCCCAUCCCAGUUCGGAUUGUAGGCUGAAACUCGCCUNCAUGAAGCUGGAGUUGCUAGUAAUCNCGAAUCAGAAUGUCGCGGUGAAUNAUUCCCNGGCCUUGUAGUCCCCGCCCCUCNNACCAUGAGAGUCGGCAACACCCGAAGCCCGUGAGGCAACCUUUUGGAGCCAGCGGUCGAAGGUGGGGUUGAUGAUUGGGG
rnacentral:rRNA from 1 species